CUCUCAUACACAUUGUACACCGCCCACUCUCCAGACACCUGCUUUUAUUUACCAAAAUAACACAUUAGUCCAAGUGCAAAGUCUAGAGCCUUUCUUUCUCAUUAUAGUCGAGAACUAGGGGUGUAUACACAUUAGACUUUGUAAAGGUAGAGGAUGAUCAAAUGGUAAUACUCUGUCAAAUAUUAGUUAUAUUGUACCUUAGUUGAUGCAAAUCCAGCAAGGCAAUACUCUGUCAUGCACCAUCUAGUUUUGUUGAGUUUACAAGAUGAUUUGUUUGUUUCAUGGAAAGCAAGUGUUCUUCUAAUCCCAACUGUUCUACCACAAGCAAUGAUUUCUCUCUCUUU
rnacentral:lncRNA from 1 species